rnacentral:sRNA from 1 species
GUUUGCACUCAUCGGGGAAGGGUGAGAACCUUCGACUAAGGUUCGAUUCGAGCGAAAGCGAGAGAACGUUGCCACAGGCAACGGCCCGAAGGGUGAGGAGCGAAG